GGGAGAGGAGCCCCAGCCCCAGUAUUCCCAGGUGUCCCCAUUUGGUGACCAGGACUGAACACAGAGACUCACCAUGGAGUCUGGGCUGGGCUGGGUUUUCCUUGUUGCUCUGUUACAAGUGUCCCCGACCCAACCCAAGGUCUUCCCACUGAGCCUUCCAAGACCUAAGCAGAGCAAUCCCGUGGUCAUCGGCUGCCUGGUCCAGGGCUUCUUCCCCGCGGAGCCGCUGAGCAUGAGCUGGAGCAAAACCAAUGGCGUGACCGUCACUCAGUACCUGCCCAGCCAGGCUGGCGCUGGGGGCCUGUACACCGCCAUCAGCCAGCUGACCCUGCCGGCCGACCAGUGCCCGGAUAGCAAGUCCGUGCCGUGCCGCGUGCAGCACAACUCCAACUUCGACAAGGAAGUGUCCGUGCCCUGCGGCCAUGUCAUAAAGCCGAACUCCUCCUGCUGCCAUCCCCGGCUGUCACUGCACCCGCCGGCCCUCGAGGACCUGCUCCUGGGCUCAGACGCCAACCUCACGUGCACGCUGAGCGGCCUGGUGGAACCCACGGGCGCCACCUUCAUCUGGCAGCCCUCAGCGGGGCAGGCCGCCGUGCAGGGGACACCCGUGCGGGACUCCUGCGGCUGCUACAGCGUGUCCAGUGUCCUGCCCGGCUGCGCCGAGCCGUGGAACAACAGGCAGACCUUCACGUGCACCGCCACCCACCCUGAGUCCAAGGAAACACUAACUGCCAGCAUCACCAAAGUCUCAGGGGACAACUUCCGGCCCCAGGUCCACCUGCUGCCGCCGCCGUCGGAGGAGCUGGCCCUGAACGAGCUGGUGUCGCUCACCUGCCUGGUGCGCGGCUUCAGCCCCGAGCAGGUGCUGGUGCGCUGGCUGCGCGGCUCCCAGGAGCUGCCCCCCGGGGACUACCUGACCUGGCCGUCCCGGCAGGAGCCCGGCCAGGGCGCCUCCACCUUCGCGGUGACCAGCGUGCUGCGCGUGACGGCCGAGUCCUGGAAGAACGGGGACAACUUCUCCUGCAUGGUGGGCCACGAGGCCCUGCCACGGGCCUUCACGCAGAAGACCAUCGACCGCCUGUCGGGUAAACCCACCCACGUCAACGUGUCCGUGGUCAUGGCAGAGGUGGACGGCACCUGCUACUGAGCCGCCCGCCCACCUGCCCCCUGAAUAAACUCCGAGCUCGCCCCACGCAGCCCUGCA